rnacentral:rRNA from 1 species
CCUACGGGUGGCAGCAGUGGGGAAUAUUGGACAAUGGGGGGAACCCUGAUCCAGCCAUGCCGCGUGUGUGAAGAAGGCCCUCGGGUUGUAAAGCACUUUCAGUGAGGAAGAACGCCUGGUGGUUAAUACCCAUCAGGAAAGACAUCACUCACAGAAGAAGCACCGGCUAACUCCGUGCCAGCAGCCGCGGUAAUACGGAGGGUGCGAGCGUUAAUCGGAAUUACUGGGCGUAAAGCGCGCGUAGGUGGCUUGAUAAGCCGGUUGUGAAAGCCCCGGGCUCAACCUGGGAACGGCAUCCGGAACUGUCAAGCUAGAGUGCAGGAGAGGAAGGUAGAAUUCCCGGUGUAGCGGUGAAAUGCGUAGAGAUCGGGAGGAAUACCAGUGGCGAAGGCGGCCUUCUGGACUGACACUGACACUGAGGUGCGAAAGCGUGGGUAGCAAACAGGAAUAGAUACCCCGGUAGUC